rnacentral:lncRNA from 1 species
CGCAAGAGCCGCGGGGGCCCCUCCUGGGCUCAGACUCCGCAGAGCGCCUCCCGGAGCCGGCGGGUGGGAGCCCGAGUCUCCAGCUCUCCGGGCUCGCGUGGCUCCUCGCUGGGAAAAGAGGGGGUCCCCUGCGGGCACAGGGCCGUCGCCGGAGGGGGUCCGCUGCGGCGCGGGGCUGCUGGGCGGCUGCCCCAACACGUCCGGAGGCCCCGCGAGAUUCCAGCCGUCGCAGCCCCUGGAGCCACCGGAGCGGAGGCAAGGCCGCCCCGGGGCCGGGAGCCUCGAACCGAGUGAGGCGGCGCCGCCCGACGGUGUUCGGGGUCCCCCUUCGUGAGCAGCAUUCCUGACGCCGGUGACUGAACCCCGACCGGACUCAGUGGCGCGACGGGCCACCUCGCAGGAAGGCGGCCGGACAAGGAAUGGCCGAGGCAACGCUACUGGGGAUCCCACCCAUGAAGUCAGAGGUCUCAUAACAUCAGGCCACAGACAAGAUCCACAGAAAGACGCCGUGGGUUUGCCCAAGUCUAAACCCAUGGUGCUAGACUGUGCGAUCAAAGACUUCAAAAAGGGGUUUUCUGAAGAUUAAGGUGUAAACUAACCUGAUCUUUCAUCAUUUCCUUUGCUAUUACCUCAAAUAGAGCUGUGGGGGCAAGGGAACCAGACCUCUAGAUGUUAAGACCACCCUGAGUUGGUCCCAGGCCUUGGGGGGAGAAGGCGUUCCUAACAUAUUCAUCCAACUUAAGCCAAGUGUUUGGCCUCAGAGCCUGGGCAUGUCAAUUUUGCUUCUUGCUGUUUACUUUCACCCUGGUUGGAGAAAUCCACGGCUGGUUCAUCCAAUUUGCCUGUUAAUGUGGCUUAGAAACGUCCCUAAUAUUAAUAGAGGGCAUGUCAGAGCGAGCCUCUUAGGAUGCGAACACCCAGGGCAGGGCCUGUACGCCUGGGUUUUCUUCGCCUCUGUCCAGAGACAGGCAGCGGGCAGGGACGGCGGGAAGAGCGGCUGCGCUGGGAAAGAUGGUUCAUUCCAGGCAGCCUGAGGUCGGAUGGGACGUUUGACCACUAAUGCCCAGCUGCUCCCUCCAAGAGAGGGGACGCCCUCACAUAACCACGAAGGGACAAUAGGCACUGGGUGCUGAUCUUUUCUCUUUUUCGAAUGGGAGCCACCUCCUCAAGCCUGGUGCAUGGCUCAAUAGCAACUCCUCUGAUGUGUGCCUUGAUGAACUGCAAAAAUUUUGGCCCUGAGACUCUGAAAAAGAAACGUUUAAUUUUGUUUUGCACAAAAGCCUGGCCACUAUAUAACCUGUCAGAUGGAGAGCGAUGGCCAUCUGAAGGCUCUCUAGCUGAUAAUACUCUUCUCCAGCGAGACCUGUUUGGUAGACGAGGCGGGGAAUGGUCAGAGGUGCCUCGUGUCAGAUCUUUACAGUGAGGGGAGACGCUACACCGAGGAAGGCUUGCGGACUUUCUCAGUACGUUAUGCCAACCCCCUCAGGACCUAGGCGCCCACCACAUCCUGGCCCAGCUGGGUCAGACCCUCCAGAAGCGAAUCGGCCUUCUCCAACACUGCCCAAGGCGCCUCCUCUUCCCACUCCAGUACCAAAGUUAUAUCCCUCUCGACUCCCUUUACAGGAAGCGGCAAACGGAGAAUGGGGACCAAAUACAGGUCCAUAUGCCUACUUCACUUCAGGACUUAGGGCGAAUAAAAACAGAUAUGGGAAAAUUUGCUGAUGACCCAGAUAUAUCGAGGUCUUUCAGGGUCUCAUGCAGUCCUUUGAGUUAGCCUGGGAGGAUGUCAUGUUAUUAUGAAAGCAGACAUUGACUAUAAGUGAAAAAAAAAAUGAAAAAACAAAAAAA